rfam:Massilia sp. Root351 contig_4, whole genome shotgun sequence.
CUUCCUCGAUCUGCUGCGGGCAGAUGAAGUGGAUGUGCGAGUCGAUGCCGCCGGCGGUGACGAUCAGCCCUUCGCCGGCGAUGAUCUCGGUGGCCGCGCCAAUCGCCAUGGUCACGCCGGACUGGAUAUCGGGAUUGCCGGCCUUGCCGAUGGCGGCGAUCAGGCCGUUCUUCAGGCCGAUGUCGGCCUUGACGAUGCCCCAGUGGUCCAGGAUCACCGCAUUGGUGAUGACGGUGUCCAUCACCUCGGCGUGCGGGCGCUGCGACUGGCCCAUGCCGUCGCGGAU